GACGAACGCUGGCGGCGUGCCUAAUACAUGCAAGUUGAGCGCUGAAGGUUGGUACUUGUACCAACUGGAUGAGCAGCGAACGGGUGAGUAACGCGUGGGGAAUCUGCCUUUGAGCGGGGGACAACAUUUGGAAACGAAUGCUAAUACCGCAUAAAAACUUUAAACACAAGUUUUAAGUUUAAAAGAUGCAAUUGCAUCACUCAAAGAUGAUCCCGCGUUGUAUUAGCUAGUUGGUGAGGUAAAGGCUCACCAAGGCGAUGAUACAUAGCCGACCUGAGAGGGUGAUCGGCCACAUUGGGACUGAGACACGGCCCAAACUCCUACGGGAGGCAGCAGUAGGGAAUCUUCGGCAAUGGACGAAAGUCUGACCGAGCAACGCCGCGUGAGUGAAGAAGGUUUUCGGAUCGUAAAACUCGGUUGGUAGAGAAGAACGUUGGUGAGAGUGGAAAGCUCAUCAAGUGACGGUAACUACCCAGAAAGGGACGGCUAACUACGUG
rnacentral:rRNA from 1 species